rnacentral:rRNA from 1 species
AAAUUGAAGAGUUUGAUCAUGGCUCAGAUUGAACGCUGGCGGCAGGCCUAACACAUGCAAGUCGAACGGUAGCACAGAGAGCUUGCUCUCGGGUGACGAGUGGCGGACGGGUGAGUAAUGUCUGGGAAACUGCCUGAUGGAGGGGGAUAACUACUGGAAACGGUAGCUAAUACCGCAUAACGUCGCAAGACCAAAGAGGGGGACCUUCGGGCCUCUUGCCAUCAGAUGUGCCCAGAUGGGAUUAGCUAGUAGGUGGGGUAACGGCUCACCUAGGCGACGAUCCCUAGCUGGUCUGAGAGGAUGACCAGCCACACUGGAACUGAGACACGGUCCAGACUCCUACGGGAGGCAGCAGUGGGGAAUAUUGCACAAUGGGCGCAAGCCUGAUGCAGCCAUGCCGCGUGUAUGAAGAAGGCCUUCGGGUUGUAAAGUACUUUCAGCGGGGAGGAAGGUGUUGUGGUUAAUAACCUCAGCAAUUGACGUUACCCGCAGAAGAAGCACCGGCUAACUCCGUGCCAGCAGCCGCGGUAAUACGGAGGGUGCAAGCGUUAAUCGGAAUUACUGGGCGUAAAGCGCACGCAGGCGGUCUGUCAAGUCGGAUGUGAAAUCCCCGGGCUCAACCUGGGAACUGCAUUCGAAACUGGCAGGCUAGAGUCUUGUAGAGGGGGGUAGAAUUCCAGGUGUAGCGGUGAAAUGCGUAGAGAUCUGGAGGAAUACCGGUGGCGAAGGCGGCCCCCUGGACAAAGACUGACGCUCAGGUGCGAAAGCGUGGGAGCAAACAGGAUUAGAUACCCUGGUAGUCCACGCCGUAAACGAUGUCGACUUGGAGGUUGUGCCCUUGAGGCGUGGCUUCCGGAGCUAACGCGUUAAGUCGACCGCCUGGGGAGUACGGCCGCAAGGUUAAAACUCAAAUGAAUUGACGGGGGCCCGCACAAGCGGUGGAGCAUGUGGUUUAAUUCGAUGCAACGCGAAGAACCUUACCUACUCUUGACAUCCAGAGAACUUAGCAGAGAUGCUUUGGUGCCUUCGGGAACUCUGAGACAGGUGCUGCAUGGCUGUCGUCAGCUCGUGUUGUGAAAUGUUGGGUUAAGUCCCGCAACGAGCGCAACCCUUAUCCUUUGUUGCCAGCGGUCCGGCCGGGAACUCAAAGGAGACUGCCAGUGAUAAACUGGAGGAAGGUGGGGAUGACGUCAAGUCAUCAUGGCCCUUACGAGUAGGGCUACACACGUGCUACAAUGGCGCAUACAAAGAGAAGCGACCUCGCGAGAGCAAGCGGACCUCAUAAAGUGCGUCGUAGUCCGGAUUGGAGUCUGCAACUCGACUCCAUGAAGUCGGAAUCGCUAGUAAUCGUAGAUCAGAAUGCUACGGUGAAUACGUUCCCGGGCCUUGUACACACCGCCCGUCACACCAUGGGAGUGGGUUGCAAAAGAAGUAGGUAGCUUAACCUUCGGGAGGGCGCUUACCACUUUGUGAUUCAUGACUGGGGUGAAGUCGUAACAAGGUAACCGUAGGGGAACCUGCGGUUGGAUCACCUCCUUACCUUAAAGAA